rnacentral:rRNA from 1 species
AGCGAACGCUGGCGGCAGGCCUAACACACGCAAGUCGAACGAAGUCUUCGGACUUAGUGGCGGACGGGUGAGUAACACGUGGGAACGUACCUUUUGGUUCGGAACAACUCAGGGAAACUUGAGCUAAUACCGGAUGAGCCCUUAGGGGGAAAGAUUUAUCGCCGAAAGAGCGGCCCGCGUUAGAUUAGCUAGUUGGUGAGGUAAAGGCUCACCAAGGCUACGAUCUAUGGCUGGGCUGAGAGGAUGAUCAGCCACACUGGGACUGAGACACGGCCCAGACUCCUACGGGAGGCAGCAGUGGGGAAUCUUGCGCAAUGGGCGAAAGCCUGACGCAGCCAUGCCGCGUGAAUGAUGAAGGUCUUAGGAUUGUAAAAUUCUUUUACCAGGGACGAUAAUGACGGUACCUGGAGAAAAAGCCCCGGCUAACUUCGUGCCAGCCGCCGCCGUAAAAC